GAAAAAAAACAUACAAAAUAUAUAUUUUUUUAAAACAUAGGUCUUUUCUACAGAGAAAUUGCAAAGGAAGUCAAGGUGUCAGUGAGUACAGUUUCCUUCACCGUUAAAAGGCACUCAGAAACUGGGGGAAACUCUGACAGGAAGAGAUCUGGCAGACUCAAAGCCACAACAGAAUCAGAACACAACUUCUGAGAGUCAACAGCGUAUGUGAUGGGAGGCUCACAGGACAACAGCUUCAAGCACAGCGUAAUCAUGGUCUUAAUUGGUUGCACAAAAGGAAUGGAUUUGUUGGACUGUAACAAGCACAGCCAGAGAGCUCGAUGCUAACUCGAGGGAAAUCUCCUGUGAUGUAAAACAGAGGAAAGAGACAAUAAAGCAGAGGACAGA